GGCAGAGGGCCGCCAGAGUGGUAGCAGCGCACAAGCUGUGUGUUGCGGGGCUGGCGGAAACCACGUUUACGGAGAAUGCAAAAUUAUUUGAGGAAUGCACACACACACACAUACUCACGCGGCGAGAUACACUCUCGCACGUAUAAAAAUAGCCGCAAACGACAGUCGGAUCCCAGGCCCCCACAUGACGUCAUCUUUGUCUGUCUCUUCGCUCUCAUUGUACUAGGGAUAAGAUGAAAUUAUCCACCCCACCCCACCCACAAAGAACAAUCAAAGUAUUGAAAAAUGCACACAUUUUGGUUUUACAAUCCUUUUUUUUUUGUUGGGCAAUGUUUUAUUGUUUCACUCACACUUUUGGCAAUGCUGUAAAGUAAAUGCUCCCUGUUAACCAGCUGUUACUCUCUCGCUCGCUCUCUCUCUUUUUCACUGUGUGGUGCUCUCGCGAUGUGUGUCGCUUUGUGGCUCGCCAACGAAAGUGAGCGCCGGCCACAAAGCUGCAAAUAUGGGCGAAUAAAUGGCAGACAAUCGAAAAAUGAGUAUUUUUUAUGUUUUUGGAGCCAAAAUCGAUU